AUUUAAAUAGCUUAAAAAGAGCAUUGUAUUGAAGAUACAAAGGUAAUGAAGGUUAUUUUUAAAUA
rnacentral:tRNA from 1 species